rnacentral:lncRNA from 1 species
CUUCUUUACAAUUGUGAACAUGUUUUAUCAUUUUGGCUUCAUUCCAAUUUGUAUCUGUCUAUCUUAUUAUUAUUUUGUAUCAAUUUAUAUCUAUCUUUUUGCAAGCACUGUAUUAAGAUUUCCUAUAUCUCUCAUAUCUUCUCAACCUUUGUUCAAGUAAUCUUCAAGUUUUCCCAUGUGUUUCUCUCUUUGACUUAAUUUUAUUUUGUGCUAGUACUGUAGUUUAUGGAUGCAUGCACACUUUCUUUUGUAUCCUAUCAUUUCUUAUUUCUAACUCUUUUAAUGAGAGAGAACAUCAUUGAUUGGUGUUUUAAGGUUCCAUCUAUUCUUGCCUUUUCUUUGCCAAAUUAACAAAGAUUGGGUCCUAGUACAACACCCAACUAUUAGUCAGGUGAUUUAAAAUUCUCAUAUUUAUUAUAAACAGCAUAACCAUUCUCUCCAAUUUUUUUAUGUUGCCUUGUAUAUAAAGCCAUAAAUAUAUCCAUGUUUAUGAUCUUACAUAAUGAUAUUAAAUUCUUCUUGUUUUGUUUCUAGCCUCCUGAAUAAUGCUCUAAAGCAGGGAUGGGCAAAAGCCGGCUCACUGCAUAAACUAGAACAUAUUACAAUUUCAAGGCCUACAUUCAUAAAAUUCUAAUCAAAAAGAAAAAAUAUAAUGGAUAUUCUGUACAAUGUACGUUUACAGUAGGAAAGAUAAAACAAUUAUACUUAAAGGGGGGAAAAAAAAUAAAAAAUGCUGUGCUGAACAGAAGGGAAAAAAAUUUUCCUCAGUGUUAGUUAUAUUACUGACUAAAAAGGUAAAAAAGGUGUACUGCCAACCACACUGCACAGUUAUAAUAUGGACUAAUACAUUGGAUGCACAACUCCACAAUUGUAGGACGGCUAACAAAAUUGUCUAAAUUUAUUAAUUCGUAGGACAAAUUAUUUUCUAAUGUUUUUAAUGAGAAAAAAAUAAUUUGUACAGAUACUUUUGAAUUCUUUACAUACAAACAAAAACUAAGAAAGUAAUGCAAGAAAAGUAUAUUUUAAAAAUAAUAUUGAUACACAAAUAUAUUCUUUGUAUAAAUAUCACAAAAGUGCAUAUUCACAUUAGCAAGAUUGACAAUGACAAGAAUGUAGGCAGAUAAAUUGGUACAACUAUUAUUAUUAUUACAUGUAAUGGUAAGAGGAAUAUGUUUGUGCAAGAAUUAAUCUUGCUUGAACCUGAAUAGUGA